rnacentral:rRNA from 1 species
GACGAACGCUGGCGGCGUGGAUUAGGCAUGCAAGUCGGACGGUAGGGCUUUAUCGUAAGAUAGAGUUUGAGAGUGGCGAACGGGUGAGUAACACGUAGGAAUCUACCCUUAAGACGGGGACAACCCAGGGAAACUUGGGCUAAUACCGGAUGAGAGUGCGAGAGAUUGCAUUUAAAAGGAUGGCGAAAGUUGUCGCUUAGGGAUGAGCCUGCGGUCUAUUAGUUAGUUGGUGAGGUAAGAGCUCACCAAGGCGAUGAUAGAUAGGCGGCCUUAACGGGUGGUCGCCCACACUGGGAUUGAGAUACGGCCCAGACUCCUACGGGAGGCAGCAGUCGAGAAUAGUCUACAAUGGCCGGAAGGCUGAUAGUGCGACGCCGCGUGAACGAGGGAGCCCUUCGGGUGUAAAGUUCUUUUCUAUACGAGCAGUGCUAUAUAUAUGGAUAGUAUAUAUUAGAGGGAUAGUAGUAUAGGAAUAAGCAACGGCUAACUCCGUGCCAGCAGCCG